rnacentral:tRNA from 2 species
GCAAUAAUAGCUUAAAAUAAAGCAUUGGUCUUGUAAGCCAAAGAUAAAAUUAAUUUUUUAUUGCU